CUUUUCGUGAGCUUCCUGUAUACUUCGUUCUCCUCGUGCUCAAGGUGAUGAUUCCUACUUAAAUGAAAACUUGCCCAAUCUGCUGUUCCAUCUUCCUCUCAAAGCACCCCUCGGCAGUCACCAAUUCGCAAGUGAUCAUGAAACACAAAUUGAUCAGGUGAAAUGCAAAGUGAAUGCCUCACUUUGUAAACAGGGCAUAGCAUGGCACAGACAACGUAUUGAAUACUUGGUAUCACAGUAUCAAAAAUGUUCAGCUAAAUAAGGUGACUAUAUUAGGGAGUAACGUUGAGCUCUAAUCUGUACAUAAUUUUUUUCAAUGUUGUGCUAUAGGUUUAUUAUUUUGUUCACAGCAGAGGAACUUUUGUUAGAUGAUCCUCAUACAUGAAGGAAAUUCCUUAUUUUCUUACUUUCCAUCACACGUGUGUGGAGCAGCAAGUACAAUCUGUUUGCAAAUGAUCAUACUGAGGUAAUAAAACUGGACUCUGCAACAACCUUCAGAAACUAUGCAUGAAUGGACCACAUUAACUUUGUCCAAUUAUAUUAUGACCAAAUGGAUAGUAUGUAUGCUAUGUGAGUUGUAUGCCCAUAUAUUGUAACAAAAGAUCAGUCAGAUGAAGGCAGUCUGACUGAGGUACGUAGAUAAUUUAAAUAAUGUCCAUACAUAUGAUGAUCCGAGUGUUUUUGGCUCACUGACAUGCAUAUACACUGACAGCAUCCACAACUAGAAGACAUUACCAGAAUCUAAGUGCUGUGAAGUAAUAUUUUAUUUUUCUGAAUGUAUAUCUUUUUUUCUUAACGAAAGCCCGCAUUUGUUCGGGGCAAUGUCUCUUGAACUAGCGUUCCUGAUGGCGUUACCGUUGCUGGUAAAUGUAAAUUUUGUACGUUAGUGAGUCCCCUGCACAAUACUACGUUACACCAACUUAAAGAAAUCAGCAACUAAAUUAUUGAAUCACUGAAACGUCAAUAAAAAAGUCGACGACUCCGACGAAUCGUGCAGCGAAGCACUAUAAACCAUAGCUCCACAAACACAGAAGCACUUUGCACGUACUGUGGGCAGCAGAUAGCAGAUGUUUGUUUACUGCACAUAACAUUUUCCCACAAGCUACACAGCAGCAGUAAAAUGGAAUCUGACGUGACUCAGGGAUUUCAGGACACUUCAAAAAAUCUUGAAACUGCCCAUGGUAUCUCUUUGAAACCGCUGAACAGGCAAUGCGCUACAUAUUAGGCACACCUGUAGCUCAGUAGCAAAGGCACUGAUAAAAUGUUUGCAAAAAGAACAGCGAUUUUCAACACACACAUCACAAAAUACGACACUCGUCGCUGCAACAACGAUGGCGAUGGCAUGAUGAUGAUGAUGUUGGUGUCACUUCCGCUGGAUUGGCAUAUGUGUUAUUUAACUUUUAACCUCCACCAGCCAAUUAUAAUGAACGGCCACGGAAAUUAAAGUAUUACAAAAAAUAAGUACUCAAAAAGCACGAGCUAAAGCAAUGGCAAUGACGUCUGCCCGUCUACCCAAUCACCAUCCAUCAUCCAUCCAUCCAACCAGUUCGAACCAGUUCAGUUUCAACGGUUGAAACUUCAAACUUUCCGGACGCGCAACGGGUAGCAGUUGGGGUCUUCGCGGCUGCAUUCCACUGGUUGUUAUACGAAAAUCUUUCGAAGUUCUAAUCUCCCGCGCGUUUUGUCUUGCAAUUUUUGAGCAUAGCGAGGACGUACGCCGUGCUGUCCAGUGAUAAAAGCUGUUGAGCGCACCAGAGCUCGCAGAGUACUGUGGUGGACAACGUUUCUUUGUUCUCUGGCUUUCAAGUUUAAGGGGUGCUUGGACUAUCUUGCAUCGGUGGAUAUGAAAAUAGUGGUAACCUACCCUACGAAACAGCUAUUUGCACAUAAGCUUAACAGUUCCCUGUGAGAUGCUGUGAAAGUCAGCAGGGAAGUGCGAUGUAGAAGAAACGACUGCCA